CUUAAUUAAAACAGUCGUCUCAUUUACUCGUUACCCUUGUGGAUGCUCCAGAAAAUUCCAGAAUUGCUGUCCUUAAUUGAGCAUCAAAAAUAUAAACGUUUUCUGGGGGAGGACUCCAGACCUCCUAUUUUCCUCACAAAUCACUUACGUGCUGGCGUAAUGGAAAAUAAAGUAAAAUUGGGGCGAGCGAAGCUCCCCAAAAGAGAUUGGAGUGGGAGAACCUAAUAUUCAUAACAAUCUUAAAUUUGCAUUUGAGGCAGCUACCGGGGGUAAUUGUUAGGUUAAUGUUACUGGCACGUUUGUUGGUUUGUGU